UACGGAGGGUGCGAGCGUUGUCCGGAAUCACUGGGCGUAAAGGGCGCGUAGGCGGCGCGGAAAGUCAACGGUGAAAGCUUGGGGCUCAACCCCGAGUCGGCCGUCGAUACUUCCGUGCUCGAGCACUGUAGAGGCAGGUGGAAUUCCGCGUGUAGCAGUGAAAUGCGUAGAGAUGCGGAGGAACACCGAUGGCGAAGGCAGCCCCCUGGGCUAACACUGACGCUCAGGCACGAAAGCGUGGGGAGCAAACAGG
rnacentral:rRNA from 1 species